UACGUAGGGGCCUAGCGUUGUCCGGAUUUAUUGGGCGUAAAGAGCUCGUAGGCGGCUUGUCGCGUCGACUGUGAAAACCCGCGGCUCACCGCGGGCUUGCAGCCCGAUACGGGCAGGCUAGAGUUCGGUAGGGGAGACUGGAAUUCCUGGUGUAGCGGUGAAAUGCGCAGAUAUCAGGAAGAACACCCGUGGCGAAGGCGGCUCUCUGGACGGUACUGACGCUGAGACGCGAAAGCGUGGGAGCGAACAGGAU
rnacentral:rRNA from 1 species